rnacentral:rRNA from 1 species
GACGAACGCUGGCGGCGUGCUUAACACAUGCAAGUCGAACGAAGAGCGAUGGAAGCUUGCUUCUAUCAAUCUUAGUGGCGAACGGGUGAGUAACGCGUAAUCAACCUGCCCUUCAGAGGGGGACAACAGUUGGAAACGACUGCUAAUACCGCAUACGAUCUAAUCUCGGCAUCGAGGAUAGAUGAAAGGUGGCCUCUACAUGUAAGCUAUCACUGAAGGAGGGGAUUGCGUCUGAUUAGCUAGUUGGAGGGGUAACGGCCCACCAAGGCGAUGAUCAGUAGCCGGUCUGAGAGGAUGAACGGCCACAUUGGGACUGAGACACGGCCCAGACUCCUACGGGAGGCAGCAGUGGGGAAUCUUCCGCAAUGGACGAAAGUCUGACGGAGCAACGCCGCGUGAGUGAUGACGGCCUUCGGGUUGUAAAGCUCUGUUAAUCGGGACGAAAGGCCUUCUUGCGAAUAGUGAGAAAGGAAUGACG